AUUUUCCGGACUUUUAUGUAAAUAACUAUUUAAUUGCUGCAACUGUAGCAAACCGUUGUCCUCCAGGUGGAUGGAAUUUUACAUGCACGAAUUGCAACACGUUAAUUAACGCAGUCGAUCGUGGAUCGGAAUGCAAGUAUUUUGACUCCUCAAGCAAUCGUUUUAGAGUGAAUCGCUAGAAACACCGGAACAGAGUCCUCUUCCUAUACUGGUGAGUUCGUCAUUAAAG